rnacentral:lncRNA from 1 species
UGGCAACAUGAAAUAAUUAAAAUAGACAUAUGUCCAAUAUAAAAUUACAUAUGGCGGUGAGAAACAUAGGAGGAUGAAGCUAGCAACCUUUCAAACAAAUCGACGACGGCGUAGAAGCGUUGAAAUGGAUCGAUCGCGGGAGAUGAGAGCAAUAACAAGAAAGAACAAUGGAAGAACAAGCAAGAACAAAAGAGCUCGGGCUCGGGCAGGGAGAGGAAGAAGGGAGAAGGGAGAUUCAAUUUAUAGCGGGGAGGGUUUAGUCCCGGUUGGUGUUGCGAACCGGGACUAAAAACCUACCUUUAGCCCCGGUUGGUGCCAAAGACCGGGACAAAAGGUUUAGUCCCGGUUAGUGGCAUAAACCGGGGCUAAAGGUAGGUCUUUAGUCUCGGUUCGUAACACACACCGGGACUAAAGGUCCCUCCGCGACGGCGCCUGACACCGGAGCCGUUGGGGAGGAACCUUGUCCCGGACACCAAAAAUACUGGGACUAAAAGUCAUUUGGUACAUCUCUACCAAAGGUACGUUCUCUAGCAGUGCUACACGGUACUGACACUCAGCUCGUCCCACGAGAUGCACGCGGAUGUCCAGUUUUAUUUACCGGUGUUUAUUGUUGGAAAAAUGCAGUAUGCAUGCCAAAUUGCCAACUCAUGCCGCCAGCAAUAUUAAACUAAUCUUUCUUCAUAUUGUUAAUGUCACCGUACCGUAGUCACACCUGAUUCCCACCCGUAUUUCAGUGCGUAUAUAUGCCUGUGUCACUGUUACUACGGAUGGCGCGAAAAAAAAAUUAUACGCGACAGCGGUAGACUUGGACGGUUCCACCAUAAUAGAGAUGGGAUUAUGCACCAAUAGAUUAAUUAAUUAAUUAAUGAAGUCGAUCGGCGACUUCAAAACCAGAAUUGUAUAAAAAUGGGAUCAAAUACUAAGGCAGUGAGAUCAACUCACAAUGCAAGUUGUUCUUGUUCAUUCACGGGCGUUGAGCGAGCUCAAUCAAUUAACAGUGAAGAGAUUAAUACAUAUAUACUCCUAGUCUUGAAAUCAUCUGUAGAUGAUGUUGCUAUAUACUGUAGCAACAGUAGAGCCUAUUAAUUAAGAGAUUGGGUACAUCAGUACAUGCAUGCAUGUUGGUAGUACAUACUGUACAGUAGAGCUUUGGUAGUUUGCAGUAGUUGUGUUUUGUGUGCAGACGCAUGGUCCACGAGCAAAAUAUGUAUCUCAAAUUGAUAAAUUUCAGAAGGAAAAAAAAAAGAAAAAAGACUCGGCAAGAUGUUCUAAUACGGCCAUUUGCACAUUGCAAGUUUGAUAUAGGACGAGAUACUCUAACCUACAUUAAUUUUCAUUAUGCGAAAAAGACUCGGCUUCGUUUGGC